UUUAAAUUUAAUAUUAAUUGUAAUUUUGACUGAUAAGAACAUUUUGAUAUUGAUAUACAAAAUAAUUGAUAUUAUGUUUUUACAGAAAGUAAAACAACACGUUUCUAGAAUGAACAUGCAAGUAAUACAUCCAAGUACUUGCGAACAAAGAAUAUUACAGUAUAUUUAAAUCAAACAACAAAACCAUAGACUAUAUUAGAAGAAAUGAAUAUUUCCAGAAAAUGAAAAGAAUAUAUUAGUGAUAUAAUUUUUAAUAGAUUUCUCAUUAAAUAUGUAACAAUUUUUUACUUUAUUUCUUGAUAAAGUUCCAAUAUUCAAAAUAUGUCUAUGUAAUGAUAAUUUGUUCAAAGUACAACUUUAUAUUGAGGUGGAGA